CGGCUGAGUAACGCGUGGGUGACGUACCUAUCGGUGGGGAAUAACUGCCCGAAAGGGUGGCUAAAACCGCAUACGUCCACUGCUGCGUGGCAGUGGGGAAAAUCGCAAGAUGCCGAUGGAGCGGCCCGCGUUCGAUUAGCUGGUUGGUGGGGUAACGGCCUACCAAGGCGACGAUCGAUAGCGGGUCUUAGAGGAUGAUCAGCCAGACUGGGACUGAGACACGGCCCAG
rnacentral:rRNA from 1 species